rnacentral:rRNA from 1 species
AUUGAACGCUGGCGGAAUGCUUUACACAUGCAAGUCGAACGGCAGCACGGGGCAACCUGGUGGCGAGUGGCGAACGGGUGAGUAAUACAUCGGAACGUGCCCAAUCGUGGGGGAUAACGUAGCGAAAGUAACGCUAAUACCGCAUACGAACUACGGAUGAAAGCGGGGGAUCGCAAGACCUCGCGCGAAUGGAGCGGCCGAUGUCAGAUUAGGUAGUUGGUGGGGUAAAGGCUCACCAAGCCGACGAUCUGUAGCUGGUCUGAGAGGACGACCAGCCACACUGGGACUGUGACACGGCCCAGACUCCGACGGGAGGCAGCAGUGGGGAAUUUGGGACAAUGGGCGCAAGCCUGAUCCAGCCAUUCCGCGUGCAGGAUGAAGGCCUUCGGGUUGUAAACUGCUUCGGUACGGAACGAAACGGUUCUCUCUAAUACAGGGGGCUAAUGACGGUACCGUAAGAAUAAGCACCGGCUAACUACGUGCCAGCAGCCGCCGUAACAC